rnacentral:rRNA from 1 species
UAGGGAAUCUUCCACAAUGGGNGAAAGCCUGAUGGAGCAACGCCGCGUGUGUGAUGAAGGGUUUCGGCUCGUAAAACACUGUUGUAAGAGAAGAAUGACAUUGAGAGUAACUGUUCAAUGUGUGACGGUAUCUUACCAGAAAGGAACGGCUAAAUACGUGCUAG